rnacentral:rRNA from 1 species
GAUCUGGCUCAGAUUGAACGCUGGCGGCAGGCUUAACACAUGCAAGUCGAACGGUAACAUAAAGAAGCUUGCUUCUUUGAUGACGAGUGGCGGACGGGUGAGUAAUGCUUGGGAAUCUAGCUUAUGGAGGGGGAUAACUACGGGAAACUGUAGCUAAUACCGCGUAAUAUCGAAAGAUUAAAGUGUGGGACCUUCGGGCCACAUGCCAUAGGAUGAGCCCAAGUGGGAUUAGGUAGUUGGUGAGGUAAAGG